UUAGGUGCGCAACUAAGUACCCGCUGUUUGUCUAUAGAUGGCUCCAGCAGUAAGUGCUGGUCGAUUUUGACAUAUCCAAAACGUCACGAGCCAAGCUUAGACAUAUGAAAACGGCGGCUGAAGCGCAUCGAGAGCUCCAAAAAGUUUACGGAGAUGCUGCUUUAAGUGAAACAACGUGCCGUGAUUGGUUCCGUCGCUUCAAAGACGGUGAUUUCGAUGUUGACGACCGUCCGCGUGAAGGAAGGCCAAAACCUUCGAAGACGCUGAAUUGGAGGCAUUGCUCGAUGAGGAUCCAUGCCAAACGCAAGAACAGCUUGCUUCAGCAUUAGGAGUUACCCGCCAAGCCAUUUCCAAGCGAGCAAUACGAGCAGAGGCACGAAAAAGUGAUUCUACUGCAUGACAACGCUCGGCCUUAUGUUGCCAAACCCGUUAAAACUUACGUGGAAACGCUCAAAUGAGAAGUCCUACCCCACCCGCCAUAUUCCCCAGAUAUUGCGCCGUCCGAUUAUUACUUGUUCCGUUCGAUGGCACAUGGUCUGGCUGAUCAGCAGUUCCGCUCAUAUGAAGACAUCAACAAAUGGCUUGAUUCGUGGAUAGCCUCAAAAGACGAAUACUUUUACCGUAACGGUAUUCGAGCUCUGCCAGAAAGAUGGGAAAAAGUUGUGGCUAACGAUG